rnacentral:rRNA from 1 species
CUAAGUUUGAUGGCGACCGGCGCACGGGUGAGUAACACGUAUCCAACCUGCCGAUGACUCGGGGAUAGCCUUUCGAAAGAAAGAUUAAUACCCGAUGGCAUAGUUCUUCCGCAUGGUAGAACUAUUAAAGGAUUUCGGCAUCGAUGGGGAUGCGUUCCAUUAGGUUGUUGGCGGGGUAACGGCCCACCAAGCCUUCGAUGGAUAGGGGUUCUGAGAGGAAGGUCCCCCACAUUGGAACUGAGACACGGUCCAAACUCCUACGGGAGGCAGCAUG